rnacentral:rRNA from 1 species
CCUACGGGAGGCAGCAGUGAGGAAUAUUGGUCAAUGGACGAGAGUCUGAACCAGCCAAGUAGCGUGAAGGAUGACUGCCCUAUGGGUUGUAAACUUCUUUUAUAUGGGAAUAAAAUGUUCCACGUGUGGGAUUUUGUAUGUACCAUAUGAAUAAGGAUCGGCUAACUCCGUGCCAGCAGCCGCGGUAAUCCGGAGGAUCCGAGCGUUAUCCGGAUUUAUUGGGUUUAAAGGGAGCGUAGGUGGAUUGUUAAGUCAGUUGUGAAAGUUUGCGGCUCAACCGUAAAAUUGCAGUUGAAACUGGCAGUCUGGAGUACAGUAGAGGUGGGCGGAAUUCGUGGUGUAGCGGUGAAAUGCUUAGAUAUCACGAAGAACUCCGAUUGCGAAGGCAGCUCACUGGACUGCAACUGACACUGAGGCUCGAAAGUGUGGGUAUCAAACAGGAUUAGAUACCCCUGUAGUC